AGCGAACGCUGGCGGCAGGCCUAACACAUGCAAGUCGAACGAACCUUUCGGGGUUAGUGGCGGACGGGGGAGUAACACGUGGGAACGUGCCUUUAGGUUCGGAAUAACUCAGGGAAACUUGUGCUAAUACCGAAUGUGCCCUUCGGGGGAAAGAUUAAUCGCCUUUAGAGCGGCCCGCGUCUGAUUAGCUAGGUGGUUGAGGUAAUGGCUCACCAAGGCUAGGAUGAGUAGCUGGUCUGAGAGGAUGAUCAGCCACAUUGGGACUGAGACACGGCCCAAACUCCUACGCGAGGCAGCAGUGGGGAAUCUUGCGCAAUGGGCGAAAGCCUGACGCAGCCAUGCCGCGUGAAUGAUGAAGGUCUUAGGAUUGUAAAAUUCUUUCACCGGGGACGAUAAUGACGGUACCCGGAGAAGAAGCCCCGGCUAACUUCGUG
rnacentral:rRNA from 1 species